rnacentral:rRNA from 1 species
CGCACCUACCGAUUGAAUGUUUCGGUGAAGAUUUCGGACCACAACUUGCGCGCUUCACGGCGCUCUCGCCGCGGGAAGUUAUCUAAACCUCAACAUUUAGAGGAAGGUGAAGUCGUAACAAGGUUUCCGUAGGUGAACCUGCGGAAGGAUCAUUA